rnacentral:rRNA from 1 species
GAUGAACGCUGGCGGCGUGCCUAAUACAUGCAAGUCGAGCGAACAGAUAAGGAGCUUGCUCCUUUGACGUUAGCGGCGGACGGGUGAGUAACACGUGGGUAACCUACCUAUAAGACUGGAAUAACUCCGGGAAACCGGGGCUAAUGCCGGAUAACAUUUAGAACCGCAUGGUUCUAAAGUGAAAGAUGGUUUUGCUAUCACUUAUAGAUGGACCCGCGCCGUAUUAGCUAGUUGGUAAGGUAACGGCUUACCAAGGCAACGAUACGUAGCCGACCUGAGAGGGUGAUCGCCCACCCUGGAACUGAGACGCGGUCCAGGCUCCUACGGGAGGCAGCAGUAGGGAAUCGUCCGCAAUGGGCGAAAGCCUGGCGGAGCAGCGCCGCGUGAGUGAUGAAGGUCUUCGGAUCGUAAAACUCUGUUAUUAGGGAAGAACAAAUGUGUAAGUAACUGUGCACGUCUUGACGGUACCGAAUCAGAAAGCCACGGCCAACUACGUG